CGUUUGGAUGAAGCUAUCUGGAGCUCUCUAUGACAACUGUCUCUGUUUACCUCCUAUCUGUCAACAACUGUCAUAUGAAGUAAACACUGUGCCGUUUGGCUUUUUUCCUCUUCGGACUAAAUUCAACAGUAAAACAUGAAGGAACACACCUGGAAACAGAUAACUUUACAGUGGAGAUAGAAAUCCUUGGCUCCGAUGUACCGGGUCUUCCCAUUUGCGUCUGCGUUAGUGCACAUGUGUGCGAGCACGAUAUGUUUUCUCCUGCCGGAACCUCCUUUUGAUUGCACAAGAUGCUGGACAACAGUGUUAAUAACUACAAUGCCAGUGAAGUAUCCGCGGAGAAGCAGUGGACAAAGAGACGAACACAGAGGAGGGAAACUAAAAUCCAUCCAUCCAUUCUCGUCCGCUUAUCC